GUCUCCAAUCUGGGUUUGCCCGCCCACUCCUGUGGUCAGAUUGAGAGGUAUUGUGGUUGAGUUACCUGUGCUGCCUACCUGCGGUCAGAUUGAGAGGUAUUGUGGUUGAGUUACCUGUGCUGCCUACCUGCAGUCAGAUUGAGAGGUAUUGUGGUUGAGUUACCUGUGCUGCCUACCUGCGGUCAGAUUGAGAGGUAUUGUGGUUGAGUUACCUGUGCUGCCUACCUGCAGUCAGAUUGAGAGGUAUUGUGGUUGAGUUACCUGUGCUGCCUACCUGCAGUCAGAUUGAGAGGUAUUGUGGUUAAGUUACCUGUGCUGCCUACCUGCAGUCAGAUUUAGGAGCAUGUUGAUGUUAAACCUGCGG